UAGCUCAAGCUCUUUUUGAAAUACCAUAUAAGCUAGAGAAAGAGUCUAUAAGACGCCUAACUUCGAUUUAAACAACUCAUAUAUAUUCUUUAAAAACCUGGAGAUACAGUUUCAUCUAACAAAUGUCACUUUAUAUUGAAUUUUAUUAUGUCCUAACUGGGUUUCUACAAAAUGUAAUAGCAAGAAUAAAUUAAUCUUUGUUAUCUCAUAUGAUAACGAAAAAUUAUAGAAUGUCAUUGUUGCUCAGUUCGAAAAAAAAGAAGAGUAUUGAAGACAGAGUGUCUUCCUAACAAACACCUCUAUUGUUGGGAAAAUUCAUGUUCUUCUUAACACUUCUUAAUUUGCAUCUCUCACAUUUCGAUGUUUGUUUGUAGUCUAUACAACUAUGCAUAUUGGAGAAGAAAGACCACAUCUCCAUGAAAAUUAUUCGAGAAUCAUUCGAUUUCACACCAGUAUUAAACUUUUCAGUAAAAUUCAGCCAAUAAUGUUCUAUAAUUCUUUUUUUUUUAAUUUAUAAAACUUUUUUCCACUUCUUUAUUCGCUGUAUGAAUCUAAAACUUGAGCAAAUUCCCCAAUCCAUAAUUUCAGUUUAUUUCGUAAGGUCUUUUGAAAGUGUUAAUUGCUAUGAAUCUUGAACUUAUAUUUAUAAUUAAUUUCAAAGUUAUCAAUAUUCCUAACCUUAAUCUAAACAUCAUUAUAUCCCUAUUCGGUUCAUUUACUUCUUCACUAUAACACUUUUUUAAAAGUUAUAGUUUUAAUCGAAUCUCCAAAGGAACAUUAGUAUAAAAGAAAGAAUAACCAAAUCCAUAUCGGGCUUAAAGCUCAGCAAAUUUCUUCUCCUAUAAGCCCAAAAUGCAUAUCAGCUUUAUAUACUGACAGUGGCUUAAUUUUGACAUGAUUGCAAACACGAUUGCCGACAUUCUUUAAUAGAGUGAUGACGAACAUUUCCCAUCUGUAGUUCAAGCACAGAUAAAUUUUUCCUAUGGCUUCUUGGACAUUAUUAUCUCUUUUCAGAGAAUACUAAGAUACGAAAUUUUUAUUUUUCAAGAUAGGAAGUCAAUCUAUGGGAUGUCCUUUCGUUUCAAUUAACAAAAAAAAAAUACUUUCGAUGAAACACACUAUAAAGUAGUAUGAAUUUUAUUUUAAUUGCAAUUUUUAUUAAUAGACUUCAUUAUUAUCUUCCUCUAUGAUUCUGGACUAUUCAACUUGUCAAAAGUCAAAAUAUUUUCAUAGUGCAAAAAGAAAAUUGUAUAUGUAUCAGUAUUCAAGGUGAUUUUUUUCCCUAAAUAUAUAUCCCUAUCGCCUUUUUUUGUUAGAGUUCCUUUAUUACACAUAAAUUUAAAUAAUACCUGCCGGUAUGUGCAAAAAAACGAAAACGAAAAAUAACAUUGUCGCCCAGAAAUUUUGAUGAAUGUUUGGAAGGACAUCAGCUAGGAUAUUAAGAAAAAAAUAUUUUUCGUCCAAUUGUAUGAAAUUGAAGCAAAAGCAUAAUAUUUGAUGGCAAGUCAGUCAAGUUCUUCAGCUGUUGUACAUGCUCUCUAUCAAUCAAGUCAAAUUAUUCCUUGAAAUGCAGUGUAGUAUACAAUAUUCUGUCAGGUCCUCAUCUGUGAGACUUCGACAGUAUGUCAGCACUCCAAACUUCUCUCUCAACUUUGCCAAUAUGGAAAAUCUUUGACGAAUAGCUGAUUUUGCAUUAUUAACAAAUACAUUAAAAGAUGUCUCUCUAGUUUUCCUUAGAGCAUCAGGUAUAGUCCUUCUAAUAAUUCAUAAGAGAAGUGCUGCAUUGUGAGCCUCAAUCCUUUUUUGGAUAUUUCCAUUAUAUUUCAACAAAUUUUCAAACAAUGUUAUACCCACUACGAUGCAAAUUAAUUAAAAAAAACAUUUUAGAAUCUGCCAACCGGUUAGGAAGAUAUAGUCUUAUUUCAAAUCUUAAUCACUAAGUGGCGUUCCCUUAUUGGAAAACCUUAAUUAUUGAUUUUAGAAGUCAUACUUAUGAUAGAAGUAUGAUCUGUUUUUCGGUGUGAAGGGCUGGACUUUGAUGGUAUAGUCAAUGUAAAUCUAAGGGAAACCAAUGAUUUUCAAUGUUUUAUGUUUAAGAGACAUAUCUUUGGGGUCUAAUUUGAUAAUGAAAGACUGCACAAAAUGUUGAAAAAAAAAAUAUUUUUGCUUUCUUUAAGAGUUCCAUAUUACACCAAAUUUUAUUUAUUUAUUUUAGUUACUUCCUUCAACUUUAAUUCAACCGUUCAUAAAACAUUGAAAUCUUUGUUUUCCAUAAGUUUUACAAUGAUUAUUCUAUCAAAUUCAAGCUUCUAACCCCAAAAAACAUAUAAUUUGAUACAAAAGUCGUACUUUUAUCAUAAGUAUGACCUCUAAAAUAUGUGCUUGACGUUUAUUCAAUGUGGAAGCGCCACCUAAUUGCUAUGAUUUUAUUAAAAUUCAACUUGUUGGCCGAUUUUGUAACAAUUUUUUUGGAAAGAUAAGUUUAACUGUAUAAUUUUUAAAUAUUUUUUCACAUAAUUCAACCAUGAGUAUAUUGUUUUUGUUGAAAUAUAACGACGGAAAUACACAAUAAUUACACUAAAUUUGCACAGUUGAAUUAAAGUUAAAGGAAGUAACUAACAUAAACUAUUUUUUUGAGUGGAAUAGGGAAAUUUGAAUUCAUUUAUUCACUGAUAUCUGCAACUACCAUUUGUGAAGCUACAAAACCUUAUGACCACUAACUGUAGGGGCUUUUCUCAGUUUUAUUGAAAAAUUUAAAUCAAGGAACCCAAGUGUUAAAUAGUGGACCCCUUUUCUCCAAUACCCUCUAAACAUCCUCUAUGUGGGUCAAAUCUUCCAGCGAUAACAGCCCAUUUUACAACUGACAAAUGUACAUUGUGGUUUAUAUCCCAAGUACAAUCAAGAGGUUCCUUUGACAGCUUCAUGCCUAUCAUAAUUGUGAAAAUUGUGUUAUUAGUCAACAAAGCAAUGCGUUGGUCUUGUGUGUGGUGGCCGAUGUGGGUGGUAUGACUGAAUGUCAUUUUUACUACACACUUGAUGUGCUUUUGCGUUAUGGUAUUCAAUCAGUUCCACUUCUUUUGGAUGCUCUAGUGGAUAUAAUUGUUCAUCAGAUAAAAGGUCUUGGAAAUGGCCUACUAUUAUUGACAAUUUAUCAUAGAAUAUCCUAUCAGAUUCAAAGAUAUGGAGUGACAGCAAUCGUAUUAUGGAGAUGUUUGAAGACUUGUCAUCUCUACCCCAAAUUAUAGCAGUCAAAGGUAAUUCAAUCAAGCUGAAGUUAUCUGGUUCAAAAAUACCUCGACAACCUUGUUGUAACUUUAAGUGUAUUUGAUUAAGAUUGUGUGUACUGAUAUACCAAAAACCACUACUAAACGUGUAAAAUACAUUUGAAGUUUCUUUGUAUAAACUAACAGAUAA
rnacentral:lncRNA from 1 species